rnacentral:rRNA from 1 species
AACUUUCCGCAACGGACGAAAGUCUGACGGAGCAACGCCCCGUGAGUGAAGAAGGUUUUUGGAUCGUUAAACCCUGUUGUUAGAGAAGAACAAGGAUGAGAGUAACUGUUCAGCCCCUGACGGUAUCUAACCAGAAAGCUACCGCUAACUACGUGCCAGCAGCCGCGGUAAUACGUAGGUGGCAAGCGUUGUCCGGAUUUAUUGGGCGUAAAGCGAGCGCAGGCGGUUCUUUAAGUCUGAUGUGAAAGCCCCCGGCUCAACCGGGGAGGGUCAUUGGAAACUGGAGAACUUGAGUGCAGAAGAGGAGGGUGGAAUUCCACGUGUAGCGAUGAAAUGCGUAGAUAUGUGGAGGAACACCAGUGGCGAAGGCAACUCUCUGGUCUGUAACUGACGCUGGGGCUCGAAAGCGUGGGGAGCGAAC